rnacentral:snRNA from 1 species
GGAUUCGAGGACUAUUUACCUGUGACAUCCGCCACCCCUUUGAUGAACAGGCUUGAUCUAGCUGCUGAGGGGGCUGGUUAGGUGGGUGGCUCCUUCCUUACCACUUCAUAUAUGUCCCUCCCAAUGCCACAUUAUUCAAGAGGCUGAUGUUCCCUGGUAGAAGAAGCUGUUCUUCAGUCAGACUGUGAAUAGCUGCACUCUCGUGCUAGAACAGCCAAGCAGGCUCUAUGGGUCCAUCUGUGGGGGAAAUUAGGGUAGUUAAGCUUCCAGGGAUUAAAA